AGGGGAAAGGAGCUCUGCCUGAGUGAGCAAAGAGGGAGGCCUGACUGCACUAGUAGCUACCGAUAUGGCAUCAAUGAUCACAAGGCAGGAAAUAGCUCCCAUGGAGGCAGAGGAAGCAAGGCAGAGUAAGAGAAUAUUGACUGACCUUGGAUAUGUCACCAUUUCCUACUAGAGCAAAUUUCAGCUCUCUCUUUUGAAGGCACAGAAGUCAUACUGUUCACUAAUAGAGACUUAACUGCAACAGAUGAACCAUUUCUUCUGCAACUGUCUUUCUUACAGUAUAAUGUGCUAAUUUAGUUCUCACUUUCAGGUUCUACUUAGAAUGGAAAGCUUAAAAAACAAACCUAUUUAUCAUUACCUGAAAUUCAUGGGGCUGUAUUGUUCACAUAUAUAUUCUCAGGGUGUGGUAUGUCUCACACCCUGUGCCUGGAAACGUUUUGCCAGUCACCUCCCCUGGCAAAGAUCCUCAGUGAUGGGCAGGAACUGGAGAAUGUUGAACACUUGGCACACCUUGGCAGCCAUCCCUCAAAAAAGGCCAACAUCAAUGAGAAGAUCCAGUAUAGGAUCUGAUGUACCAUCUCUGCCUUUGGAAGACUGAAUCAUCGUGUGUUCAAUGAUCUCGACAUCAGGACUUGAACAAAGCUGUGGUAAUCCCAACUCUCCUCUACAUCUGUGAAGCUUAAGUGUCCUACAGGGAGUACAUGAAAUACCUGGAACGCCAUCACCGCCACUACCCCCAGAAGAUUCUUGGCAAGUGGGAUCAUCACAUAAGUGCCAGUGUCCUCACUCAUGCUAACACCACCAGUAUGGAAGCAUUGAUUAUCCAACAUCAGCUGUGGUGGACAAGGCACUGUAUGUACAUGACUGAUGUACAUUUACCAGAACAACUGAAAUAUUCCCAACAUAGCCAAGGACAAAGGACAUGCAGCAGCCAGAAGAAAUGAUUCAAAGACACGGUUACAAAAUUAGAACCCCAGAGGGGAACUCAUCUGGGGUGGAAGAUAGGCAGAGCUGGUGCGAGACCAUGCCAAGCCAAGAGAGAAACAGGCAUGGAGCCAUGGCUGGAGAAACUGUCAUGGCAGAGAAAAAACCCCCCAAAACCCAGAUGAUCUGAGAGGAGCCAGGAUCAAUUCCCGCACCAGUGUGGUCAUGCUUUGUGGUCACGUGCUGGUGCCAAUUCGCCGGCCUGCCCAUGGAACAAGGGAUAAAAACCCUGCUGGACAGGAAGCCUGGGGGACUGGAAGUGCGCUCCCCUGCAGGCACUCAGCAGCUCAGCACAGAGCUGUGCCCCAAAGAGGGAAAGCAGUGGCAGCCCCAAGAGGGGAUUUUGAGAAAUAUUACAAGCCCAGAAGGGCAGCAUUACUUACCUGAAGCAGAUACGUGGAUUCCUGAUGUCUCCCAGACAGAUUGGGUUUACCAGGAACCUGUGGAGAGAAGGAGAGACAGCUGUCCAUGCCACAAUAAUGACAAACAAAGAGAAUUGAAACCAACACUGGGAGGCAAGGUAACCUCGGGCCAGGUACUGGCCAAAUCAACCCUACUGAGGCAAGACCCGAGUGAGGUGAACUGAUGUCUAUGCACUGUAUACCAUUUAAAAUGGCCAAGACACAUACCAACACCAUGAUCAAACCCAGAAGAUUGGGAUUCAACAUCAUUGGUUGGCAUUAGGUGGGGUGUAGGGGAGGCCAAAACGGGAAGAUUGACAGGAAAAUCAGAGGAGGGAACCAGGAGGAACAGAACAUACAUCUUCCUCCCUACUAAAUACAUUUAUUCCAGCUAAUCAUGGCAGGUGAGAGCCACUGAGGACCCUCUGGAAUCUGUCUCAAUAACUGACCAUCCUUUCUGUGGACAACAGCAACAUCCAAUAAACCGGCAUGGACAAAGUGCUCUGGUGAAUGGCACGGUUGCUUACAGACACCCUCAAAGCGAACAUUAAGAAGUGUGGCAUUAACACCACAAACUGGGAAAAACUAGUCAGGGACAGGGCUACAUGGCAAUGCUUUGUGAAAGAGGGUACAUCUUUGAGGAAAACCGUCCUGCUGUGGAGGCAGAAAAGUGACAGAAAUGAAAGAAAAGGAAACAAGACCAAGAAAUCCAUGGUUCAAACCUCCCUUUAACCAUCACCUGUGGCAUUUGCCAGAGAGUUUGUGGCUCUAGGAUCAGCUUUCUUAGCCAUCAAUAGACUCAUUUACAACCCUUUACUUGACCUGUGUAAGUGAUCAUCCUUGAAUGUGAGGGAUUGCCAACUCUGAGUAUAUAUAUUAUAAUAUAUUGUAGCACUUAGUGAGAACAAGUAUAUGUAUACUGUAGACAUGCAAUUGUUUUAAUUAGUAUAUACAAGAGGACCUGGGAACACUUAAUUAUAUGUACUGGCCUUGGGAGCUGUGGCAUAUAUUAUACAAUUAUACACAAUUGUAUAAUAUGCCUGUAUCAUGACUGUAAGUAACACAGCACUAUGUGAUGGACUGUAAGUAACCCAUUUAGCACUAUGUGCUGGCUUACCAUGGGUGUUAGUGACUAGAAUGUUUGUAGACAAUAAACUCAAGUGAGUCUUUGUCUUUUGAA